GACGAACGCUGGCGGCGUGCUUAACACAUGCAAGUCGAGCGGAGCGGCGAACGGGCGAGUAACGCGUGAGUAACUGCCCCCCUCUCUGGGAUAACAGUUGGAAACGGCUGCUAAUACCGGAUAGUGGGGGAUGACUCGCGUCCUAUCAGCUUGUGGGUGGGGUAGUGGCCUACCAAGGCUACGACGGGUAGCCGGCCUGAGAGGGAGACAGGCCACAUUGGGCAGAGAAACUGCCCGAGCUCCGACGGGAGGCAGCAGUGGGGAAUAUGGCACAAUGGGGGAAGCGCUGUUGCAGCGACGCCGCGUGCGGGAUGACGGCCUUCGGGUUAUAAACCGCUUUCAGCCAUGACGCGGUAGUGGCAGAAGAAGCACAGGCUAACUACGUGCCAGCAUCCGCGGUAAUAC
rnacentral:rRNA from 1 species